rnacentral:rRNA from 1 species
CGGUAAGUACGGAGGGUAGCAAGCGUUAUCCGGAAUCAUUGGGUUUAAAGGGUCCCGCAGGCGGAUUUAUAAGUCAGUGGUGAAAGCCCGUUGCUUAACAACGGAACUGCCAUUGAUACUGUAAGUCUUGAAUUCGAUCGAAGUGGGCGGAAUAUGACAUGUAGCGGUGAAAUGCUUAGAUAUGUCAUAGAACACCGAUAGCGAAGGCAGCUCACUAGGUCUGGAUUGACGCUCAGGGACGAAAGCGUGGGAGCAAACAGGAUUAGAUACCCUGGUAGUCCACGCCGUAAACUAUCAAUACUCGUUCUCAGCUCUUCGGAGUUGGGGACCAAGCGAAAGUGAUAAGUAUUGCACCUGGGGAGUACGAUCGCAAGGUUGAAACUCAAAGGAAUUGACGGGGGCCCGCACAAGCGGUGGAGCAUGUGGUUUAAUUCGAUGAUACGCGAGGAACCUUACCAGGGCUUAAAUGCAGAACGCAUAUAGUGGAAACAUUAUAGUCUUCGGAC